CGCCUCUUGAACAAAAAUAAGAGGUCCAGCCUGCCCAGUGAUUAAUAUUCAACGGCCGCGGUAUCCUAACCGUGCGAAGGUAGCGCAAUCACUUGUUCUUUAAAUGGGGACUAGUAUGAAUGGCAUCACGAGGGUUAUACUGUCUCCUUUUUCUAAUCAGUGAAUCUAAUCUCCCCGUGAAGAAACGGGGAUACACCUACAAGACGAGAAGACCCUAUGGAGCUUUAAAUACCUCUUCAAACGUUGGACCUCCUCCCCAGUUUUAAACUCACCUAUAUUAACCCCGUACGCUAUGAAGACAACUUUAGGUUGGGGUGACCGCGGAGUACAACAUAACCUCCACGCUGAAUCAGACUCUUUAAGCCUGAACCAAGAGCCACUGCUCAAAGCACUAAGAAAUUAACAUCUAUUGACCCAAAACAUUUGAUCAACGAACCAAGUUACCCUAGGGAUAACAGCGCAAUCCAUUUCAAGAGUCCAUAUCGACAAAUGGGUUUACGACCUCGAUGUUGGAUCAGGGUAUCCCAGUGGUGCAGCCGCUACUAAUGGUUCGUUUGUUCAACGAUUAAAACCC
rnacentral:rRNA from 1 species